rnacentral:rRNA from 1 species
AUUGAACGCUGGCGGCAGGCCUAACACAUGCAAGUCGAACGGUAGCACAAAGAGCUUGCUCUCGGGUGACGAGUGGCGGACGGGUGAGUAACGUCUGGGAAACUGCCCGAUGGAGGGGGAUAACUACUGGAAACGGUAGCUAAUACCGCAUAACGUCGCAAGACCAAAGUGGGGGACCUUCGGGCCUCACACCAUCGGAUGUGCCCAGAUGGGAUUAGCUAGUAGGUGGGGUAAUGGCUCACCUAGGCGACGAUCCCUAGCUGGUCUGAGAGGAUGACCAGCCACACUGGAACUGAGACACGGUCCAGACUCCUACAGGAGGCAGCAGUGGGGAAUAUUGCACAAUGGGCGCAAGCCUGAUGCAGCCAUGCCGCGUGUAUGAAGAAGGCCUUCGGGUUGUAAAGUACUUUCAGCGGGGAGGAAGGCGGUGAAGUUAAUAGCUUCACCGAUUGACGUUACCCGCAGAAGAAGCACCGGCUAACUCCGUGCCAGCCGCCGCCGCGGUAA